CAGGUGUCACCACUCCGUCCAUGAUCACAGAGCGUCUUCAUACAAUGAAAUGGUUCUUUGAAACCAGGACUGAGGCCUCCAGGAUUCAAACUUAAACCAUUAAAGCACAGAGAGAAGAGACAGACAUGAAGAUGUUUCCAGAAGGUCUUCAGCUGCUGUCGUCUUCUCCCCCUGCAGAGACAAGAACACGUGUUAAUCACAGAAACUGAUCAGUAAGUCAAAAUGGUUUUUGACAGUUUUCCUACUAUAUACUGUGAUAUGUGGGCGGCUUAAGACAAAGGAAGUAUCAUAAAGUAGCCAUCUUUGUUUUCCACAGACACACACAUUCACACCUCUACAGUGUUUGUGGGUUAGGUUAGAUUUCCAUGUUGUUAUUUCAAACAGUGCAAUAUUAGUACUCAACUCUAAUCUAUUACUUUGUACUUAAUCCUGUUUGACUGUUCAUAUUUUGUAUAACUCUUAUAUAUCACCUUGUGUGUAUAAUGUCCUUUUCUAUUUUUGCUAUUGCAACACUGAAUUUCCCCAUUGUGGGACUGAUGGAUUAUCUUACGCAAAUAAAUACUUCUGAACACUGAAUAUUUUUAGCCAGAGGUUAGGGUUAAGACUUUUAGCCACAAUUAUACAAUUUACUUGUUUUUGUUUUUGAUGCUUUUUGAUAAUUUUUAACGCCUUGCAAUACUAUGACAUUUUUUGGCGGUUUUGAUAAUGUUUGACCAUUUUUCAUGCCUUCCUUUACUAUGGCAUUUUUGACGGUUUUUGAUAAUUUUUAACGCCUUGCAAUACUAUGACAUUUUUUGACGGUUUUGAUAAUGUUUGAC